GGAAGUAAAUGUCGUAACAAGGUUUCCGUAGGUGAACCUGCGGAAGGAUCAUUAUUGUAUAGCCGAGGUGCGAGGGCUGUCGCUGACCCGAAAGGUCGUGCACGCCCGAGUGCCCUCACACACAUCCAUCUCACCCCUAUGUGCACCACCGCGUGGGUCCCCCUUUGGCUUGUUCGGAGGGGGGCUUACGUUUUCACACAAACUUUGUAUGCAGUGUAGAAUGUAUUUUUUGUUUUUGCGAUCACGCAAUCAAUACAACUUUCAACAACGGAUCUCUUGGCUCUC
rnacentral:misc_RNA from 1 species